UACAGAGGGGCAAGCGUUAUUCGGAAUUAUUGGGCGUAAAGGGCGCGUAGGCGGCUUUUCAAGUGACGGGUGAAAUCCCGUCGGCUUAACCGAGGAACUGCCUGUCAGACUGGAAGGCUUGAGACCGGGAGAGGUGAGUGGAAUUCCCAGUGUAGCGGUGAAAUGCGUAGAUAUUGGGAGGAACACCAGUGGCGAAGGCGGCUCACUGGACCGGAACUGACGCUGAGGCGCGAAAGCGUGGGGAGCAAACAGG
rnacentral:rRNA from 1 species